rnacentral:tRNA from 1 species
GCAUUGAUAGUUUAGUGGUAGAAUUCUCACCUUCCAUGUGGGAGACUCUGGUUCAACAGCCAGCCGAUGCU